GCUCUGGUGUUGCUUAAAGGCUGUAAAAUAUACAACUAGAAACAAAGGAAAUACUGUCUCCGCUUGGACAGGUCACUUUACCGAGCUGCCCCUUCCCUGCACCUUAGAGGUUAAAGGAAGAAAAAAAGAGCUGAUUACUCCAGUGCUGGGCUUCCAUAUUUUUCCUGGAUAAAACUAAGGACUGAGCAUGAGGCUCAUGCCUUUUAUACAACUCUGAUGAUGGAAAAAAUAUCAGCGGCAGUUUCAGCUGCACAUCCCACUCCUGAGCACGACUUGUCAUGUUCUUGUCGAUCAUUCCCAUGGUCAGCAGCCAAAUCUGUGUUCAGAUUGCUAGUCACUUAAAGAAGCUUCACCAGGUCUUUGGGGACCAUUGAAAACAUGGACUAUUUCCUGGCCAUCCCAGAGAAGCUGAGGACUGGGGCAUGUGCUGGGGAAUCCUGCUCCGAGGAUCACUUCAGCUCAGCAUUUUGUUGCAGAGGAACAGCACUUCUCCGAAUAAGGCUUUAUCUCUCUCCAGAAGACACCGUGGUGAGGGCAGGUGAACUGAUUAAUAAACUGAUGGAUUUUUAGUCAUUGUGGUCAUCUGCUUUAACCUCCUUAAUGCUAACAGGCCACUAAAUUUCUCCUGUUACCUCCUGGUUCAAGGCUGCCUUUACCGGCUGAUCAAGCCCACUCCUUCGGCAGGGCAGGAGCUGCGGGGGUGACCACAGACCCCAUGGGGCUGCCCUGGCUUUGAGGGGCUCUGCAUUUCCCCUGUGCCACUGUGACAAGGACAGUGCUGCUAAAGUAGGGAGCAACCCGCUGAGCUGAGCAGCGGAGGAGCCCUCUCCUGCCUAGAACUAUAGCUGGUCUGCGAGGCCAGUGCCUCGUCACCAUCACAUUGGGGCAGCCUGGAGAAUAUGUGUCUGUCCUUGAACCACCAGCAGCUCUGUGGACCCAAGAAGGGUUUAUUUGAGUAGUAUGGAAAAAAGAGCCUGUCGCCAAAAUGUCUGUAUCCAGUUUCUGGAUACCCAAGUGACCUUCAGUCAUAGGAGUCCUUAAGGACAAACUCACCUCUCUGCCUGGGGCUGAGAGAGACUCAUUGAUGUAGCUUGGUCCAAGCUGGAGACAUGGUGUCAUCUUGGCUGUGGAACAUUUCCUAUGAACCAUACUCUACAGUUCCUCAACACCAACGACAGAGCUGCCUGGGCGUAUUGCUCCUCUGACACCUCCUGUCCCAGUCACAGUUUUCCAGCUUUUUGCGCUCUCCCAUGGCAAACCCGCUGCCUCUUAUUGCGACUGCG